UACGGGGGGAGCAAGCGUUGUUCGGAUUUACUGGGCGUAAAGGGCGCGUAGGCGGUCAGCACAAGUCAAUUGUGAAAUCUCCGAGCUUAACUCGGAAAGGUCAACUGAUACUGUGCGACUAGAGUGCAGAAGGGGCAACUGGAAUUCUUGGUGUAGCGGUGAAAUGCGUAGAUAUCAAGAGGAACACCUGCGGCGAAGGCGGGUUGCUGGGCUGACACUGACGCUGAGGCGCGAAAGCCAGGGGAGCAAACGGG
rnacentral:rRNA from 1 species